UUGUGAUAUUGUCGUUUGUUCAUUGGAUGUAGUUUUUUUAUGAUGAUAAUACAGGAGAUUUCUUGCUAUUUUGAUCUAGAGCUUGGGAAAAUCAAUACUAAACGUUUUGCUGCAAGAGAGUGUAAUGGACGACAUGAUUGGCACAACAGGGAGCCAUUGAGCCAGUUCGACGUUGGGGACUGAUUGAGUGAAGCAACAACGAGAGAAUGUUGUGGCUGGUGAUUUUACUGCUGAUAUGGGUCGCAGAUUUCUUCAUCUCCUUCUGUGAGAAACUGGAUAAAUCUUCCCCUACGAAGUGUUUGGCUAAGACACCAAAGAAAAAUAACAAAUCACUAUGAUCCCACAAUUAUUGGAUAGAGGACUUUCAUAGGACAUGGAAAAUGGCGUUGUAAGCAUUAACUGGAACA